rnacentral:lncRNA from 1 species
GGGGAUUAAACUCAGGGCCUUGCUCUUGCUAGACAACCAUUCUACCACUUUGGCCACACCCCCAGUUCUUUGGCUUUUGGUUUGUUUUCCAGAUAGGGCCUUGGGCUUUUGCCCAGGCUGGCUUGGGAUUGUGAUUCCCUGCCUCCGCCUUUAGCUGGGAUUACAGGCAUACUGUGCCCAGCCUCCUUAAAGUUUUGAUGUCUUAGUAUAUUCUCACUGAAUGAAAAAGGUACAGAUUGUUCCUGCCUCUUGGGUCACUGUGAGGAUUAAAUGAGGAAGUUAGUUCCUCAAGGAACAUGGUUUGGGUUGUGCUUUUCACCACCUUUUCUGCUUCUUUUUUUGCUGCAGGUACCCUGUGACUCUCAUUCUGAUUCAGUGUUCUGAUGAGUUCCCUCUCUUGCAUGGUAAAUGUAACUCUGCCAUCCUGCAGGGCUAAGAGCAGGCUGCGUACCCUCCAGUGAGAUUGUCCAUCCAAGUCCUCAUCAAGCCUAGCUUUGGGGACCUCUCCCAUGUUCUCCCAAAGGACGUGCUGCACACUCUCGUCUGGCAUUCGUCUGGGAACUGGAUUCCCUUACAAGGCACUUGGGCUCUGCCUUUCCCUAGAAAAAGGAGGAGAAAAUGACCAAACUCCAGGUGAGUUGAUUCUCAUUUCUGUCGUUAAUAUGUCACCUCAUUCAUCAGAGAAUGGAUACAUUUUUUCCCUUUUCUUGACCAAGUGUAAAGAAUGACAGCAGUCAUUUAAUACCACUUAUGUGUCUGGC